UACGGAGGAUGCAAGCGUUAUCCGGAAUGAUCGGGCGUAAAGCGUCCGCAGGUGGCAAUGUAAGUCUGCUGUUAAAGAGUCUAGCUCAACUAGAUAAGAGCAGUGGAGACUACAUAGCUAGAGUACGUUCGGGGCAGAGGGAAUUCCUGGUGUAGCGGUGAAAUGCGUAGAGAUCAGGAAGAACACCAGUGGCGAAGGCGCUCUGCUAGGCCGUAACUGACACUGAGGGACGAAAGCUAGGGGAGCGAAUGGG
rnacentral:rRNA from 1 species